rnacentral:rRNA from 1 species
AGUGAACGCUGGCGGUAGGCCUAACACAUGCAAGUCGAACGGCAGCACAGUAAGAGCUUGCUCUUACGGGUGGCGAGUGGCGGACGGGUGAGGAAUACAUCGGAAUCUACUUUUUCGUGGGGGAUAACGUAGGGAAACUUACGCUAAUACCGCAUACGACCUACGGGUGAAAGCAGGGGAUCUUCGGACCUUGCGCGAUUGAAUGAGCCGAUGUCGGAUUAGCUAGUUGGCGGGGUAAAGGCCCACCAAGGCGACGAUCCGUAGCUGGUCUGGGAGGAUGGUCAGCCACCAUGGAACUGAGACACGGUCCAGACUCCUACGGGAGGCAGCAGUGGGGGAUAUUGGACAAUGGGCGCAAGCCUGAUCCAGCCAUACCGCGUGGGUGAAGAAGGCCUUCGGGUUGUAAAGCCCUUUUGUUGGGAAAGAAAAGCAGCAGGUUAAUACCCCGCUGUUCUGACGGUACCCAAAGAAUAAGCACCGGCUAACUUCGUG